AUGGGAUGCUCCACCAGUACCCAAACUUCAGCGGUAGAUACGACUCGACCAAGCGCUAAGCCCGAGGAGAGCAACGGAGUCAGCACUACAGGAGCGGCUAAUGAAAAUGGGAACGUAGCUGAGGACAGUGAAACUAUUCCGGACCAGACACCUGCUGAGGGAAGCGAUGCCAAGCCUGCAGAUGAGCCUGCCGUGACAGCCGCGUCUGCAGACACCACAGCUGCAACUCCACCAGCAGCAGAAGAGUCUCAGGACGCAGCCGGCAGCUCGCCUGAUGACACUUCAGCAGCAGCAGGAGACAGCACCGCUGAGACAGCAGCAAGCUCCUCAGAGGCUGAAGCUCCAGCCCCAGAGCCAGAAAAGGGAGAGGCCGGGGCGACUGACUCAGAGCCCAAAACAGACGAGACACCUGGUGAGCAUCCCGGUAGCUUCCUCUUUAUGUCACAUGAUCCACAAAUUGGUAUUUGAACCCUUCCAAUAUGCGUCCUCCUCUCUGCGUUUCUCUUCCAGCUCCCAGUGAGUGACGUGCGACAUGACCGACUGCACAGAGGAGUUUAUCUGCAUGCAUGAGUGAAAGUAUGUCCGUGUGUGUGUGUGUGUGUGAGAAAGACAUCGUCUUGUUGCCAAGAUCCAGACCCCGUGGAAACCACUUUGAGUCUGGGUGCUCAGUCACCACUGUGCCUUCUUCCUCCUCCUGGAUGUCUGCAGUCUCUCCUCUUAGACUGUGAAUAGAGUUCAACAGCACUUAGGUUUGUUUAUCUGUAACAGGUAGUAAACAGCUGAGAGAAGCUUAGAUUACUAUUUAUUAUCUGUAAUGAAAUCACCAUAAACUGUAUGUCCUUAACUUAUUCUUGAAACCUAAGAGUUUGUUUCUGAACUGUUCUAUAAGUCUGUGAAAAAUAAAGCCAAAGUAUAUUAGAUAUUAGAAGACAUUAUAUUUGUUUUGGGGGGAUGAGGGGUAGCUAGCUUUGAUUUUAUUAUCAUGUUUAAAGUAGGAGAAAAUCUCAGAGGGUUUUUUCCUGAUGUGUCAUGAUUUUUAGUAUUCCCAAAAAUCUGUAAUUAGUAAUAGGCUGUUGAAAAAUUAAAAAGAUCACCUUAAAAUAAAACCCAGUACACAUAUUCUCUGUGUUUUAAUUUGAUGCAGGAUGAAAGCAAACAUGUCACACUGUGACAGCAUUUUUUAUUUAUUUAAUGAGUGAAAUUAUCAAACCAGAAGCCAAGAGGAGGUUCAGAUGAUGUUGGGUCUUUUCCAUCCGAGUGUCCAGUCCUACUGGAUCCCUACUCUCUGUUUAAUGAGCAGCCUCUGAGGUGUUAACAAAUUAAUGGGGUUUUUUUCCCCAACUUUAAUUUUUAUUAGUUUUAGUUAGUAUUGAAAACGAUACAGUAAAGAAAAUCACAAACAAACAGUCUGGAGUUGACAUUUCUUUUUCCACCUUCUAUCACAUGCAAAUCUCUUUUUAUGUCGUGCCACAUGCCGUUUUUGGUGCCACUUAAAAAUGCUUUCCACUUCCUCCAUCGUCUAUCAUACUUACACCCCAUCAGUCUAAUACUGAAUGUAAUUUUUUCCAUCUCUGAGAUACCUUCUACAAUCCUAAUCCAAUCUUGUUGGGUGGGAGGGUCUGGGUGUAACCAAUUCUUUGUGAAUGCUUCCUUUUUUGCGGCUAGAAUUAUUUUUACUAGAUACAUGUCCUCCUUUUGUACCAGUUCCUUUAUGUUUCUAAGGUACAUCACUUGACAGGUGUUUGGGAGUGCAUAACCCAGAAUAUUAUCCAUGGUCAUUUUAAGGUCUUCCCAAUACUUUUUUAUUUUUAUGCACUUCCAAAAUACAUGUGAGUGAUCAGCUUCUGUUUCUCCACACAGUCUCCAACAUUUCUGUGGACUUGAGAUCCGUUUACUUUUAAUUUGGGGUGUAAUGAAAAAACGCGUCAAAUUUUUCCAGCAAAAUUCCCUCCACAACGGCGAAUUCGUUGUACUGUGUUGUAUUUCACACAUACUGACCCAUUCCUUCUCUGUUAUAGUUAUGGUCAGUUCAGCUUCCCAUUUCUUUUUAAGGUAAAAGGUUGUAUCCUGUCUAUCUUCUUCUAAUGAUCUGUAGAAGGUGGAAAUUGCUUCGAAUUGUUUUUGUUCAUAGCAAUUGUUUACUAGUAACAACUGAAUGUUGCUCUGCUGUAAAUUUAAAUAUUGAAACACUGAAAAAGACUGAAAAAGAAAAAGACAGUGAAAUUCAACGUGGCUCUUCGGGUGUUCUCUGGAAAUACAAUCAGGCUUCCACAGUGAAUCUAUAAUGACACUUGGUGGCGCUACAGCUUGUUAGUGAUGCGGCCGGCUAGUCUGGAGUCGGAGAGAGGACCGAGAACAGCGACUGCCUCAAUUUCCACCAGCCCACCCUGAGGAGAAAAGGAGAAGCAGAUUGAGGCAAAAUAUGAAAUGAUAAUAUUGUCCAAAAAUGAACACACACAGUCAUUCAAAAACCCCCCUCAAAAGGUUUUUGUAUGAAAAACCAAGUGAUCCCCAUGAUUCUGUAGCUUGUAGAUCCACCUUUAGCAGCAAUAACUUGAAUUUGGCCUCGCUCUUUCUUACAGCAUUGCUUCAGUUCAUUGAAGUUUGCAGGUAUUUGUUUAUGCACAGCUCUCUUAAAGUCAGACUGAUAGGCAGCAUUAUUUGCUUCUAUAAGAUCAUUACAAAUGUUCCUGCUUGGCAUUUUGAUAACACACAGAUGAAUGAUCCAGACCAGCAAACUGCUAAAACUUUUGCUUUUACAAAGGUGUUCUCACUUGCUGAUCAUCAGAUAAUCCAGUGCAUUUGAUUAUCAGCACCUGUCUAUUUACCCUCUGCAUUCUCUGAAUUCAGCUUCUCUGAAACUGUGAGGAUGUGCUUUUUCCCCCCACAGCUGUUUCCCUGACGUUUAAUGUAAAUUUAACCCAAACUGAACAAACAGUGGAAAAACAGGACUGAAAAUGAGGAAAAUACGACUUCAGCUUAUUCAAUCAAUUUGACCGAAUCCAGAAGCAGCAUUUACACUACAUUUACUCAUUUGUCCAAAUAUCAGCAGAGUCUCCGCUGUGUGACAGUGUAAGCAAAUGA
rnacentral:lncRNA from 1 species